rnacentral:rRNA from 1 species
CCUACGGGAGGCAGCAGUAAGGAAUAUUGGACAAUGGGCGCAAGCCUGAUCCAGCCAUGCCGCGUGAAGGAUUAAGGUCCUCUGGAUUGUAAACUUCUUUUAUAGGGGACGAAAAAAGGGCAUUCUUGCUCACUUGACGGUACCCUAUGAAUAAGCACCGGCUAACUCCGUGCCAGCAGCCGCGGUAAUACGGAGGGUGCAAGCGUUAUCCGGAUUCACUGGGUUUAAAGGGUGCGUAGGCGGGCAGGUAAGUCAGUGGUGAAAUCCUAGAGCUUAACUCUAGAACUGCCAUUGAUACUAUCUGUCUUGAAUAUUGUGGAGGUAAGCGGAAUAUGUCAUGUAGCGGUGAAAUGCUUAGAUAUGACAUAGAACACCUAUUGCGAAGGCAGCUUACUACGCAUAUAUUGACGCUGAGGCACGAAAGCGUGGGGAUCAAACAGGAUUAGAUACCCUGGUAGUCCACGCCCUAAACGAUGGAUACUCGACAUACGCGAUACACUGUGUGUGUNUGNGNGAAGANAUAGUAUACCACCGCGGAGUACGUCCGCGAGAGAGAACGUACAAUAGAGUUAGACGGCGNGAGGACGNGCGACGGACGACGACGAGGGAGGAGG